AUACAGAGGGUGCAAGCGUUAUUCGGAAUUACUGGGCGUAAAGCGCGCGUAGGCGGAUGAUUAAGUCAGUUGUGAAAGCCCUGGGCUCAACCUAGGAACUGCAUCUGAUACUGGUCGUCUAGAGUUUAAGAGAGGGAAGUGGAAUUCCAGGUGUAGCAGUGAAAUGCGUAGAUAUCUGGAGGAACAUCAGUGGCGAAGGCGACUUCCUGGCUUAAAACUGACGCGGAGGUGCGAAAGCGUGGGUAGCGAACGGGAUUAGAAACCCUAGUAGUCC
rnacentral:rRNA from 1 species